CGGUCAGUCUGGUGAAGACACGGAAGUAGAAGCCAUAAAACAAGACGACAUAAAGGCGACUUCAGAAUGAGAGAAAUGGAAGGACAGCUUCAUCAGACAAGAUCUGCUCUAGAAGAAAAAGAUAAAGAACUGAAAUCAUUCAAAGACAGGACAGACUCUGACAUCAAGGACACAUUUGACUGUGGGACAAUAAAGUGAAGCUGAUCUUAUCAGAAAGCUGAGAUUGAGGACAUGAUCUGAAGGCAGCAGGUUUAUAGGUGGUAACUAUGACAACCUGAAGGAAGGUGAGAGGCCUUCAUGUUGUGCGUUCUUCUUCCUGAACAAGAUGUUCAAACGUUGGAGAGCAGCUGUUCAUACAUUGAUCCCAAUCCACAGAAACAAUGAUGUCUGCCUUAAAGAAACCUCCAUCUCUGGGAGGAGGAGGAAAGAGAGAUGUAUCCUGGUGACCAUCAGUAUUAUGGGAUGUAUCCUGGUGACCGUCGGUAUUAUGGGAUGUAUCCUGGUGAUCGUCAGUAUUAUGGGAUGUAUCCUGGUGACCAUCAGUAUUAUGGGAUGUAUCCUGGUGACCGUCGGUAUUAUGGGAUGUAUCCUGGUGAUCGUCAGUAUUAUGGGAUGUAUCCUGGUGACCAUCAGUAUUAUGGGAUGUAUCCUGGUGACCGUCGGUAUUAUGGGAUGUAUCCCGGUGACCGUCAGUAUUAUGGGAUGUAUCCUGGUGUGAUCAGUUUAGAGUCCUAGAAACAAUCACUGGUUCCUGGAUGUGUUUCUGGUUUCUGCUAAUUCACCAGAGAAAACUUUAAAGAGCUCAUUCUGGGUGAACUUUAAGGUCCAUAUCAGCAUGUUGGUAGGUGGUUGGCCAGAACUAUUAGAGAAAAAUAAAAUCUCAUUUUGGACAUGUGAUUUUGAACAAAUGUUCAGUCCAUUUGGACAAAGUUUGACUAAUUUUGGACACAUUUGGAUAAUUUGAGAUAAUUAUUAUGGCAUUCUGAAGAUGUUUUUAAGUACUUGUCGAUGAUUUAAAUUACAUUUUGGGCAAUACUGGAUCAUUUUAGACAUUUUAAUGUUUUGUUAAAAAACAGUUAUUUUGGUCAAUUUUUAUGUGAUUUUGGACAACUUUUAUGUCAUUUGGAAUAAAUUUUUAAGUAAUUAAAAAAAAAUGACAUUAUCUCUGUCUAAAGAAGAACAACUUAAAAAGCUCAGUCUGGGUGGUUAGUCAGAACAGGUUAUAGUAAAAUAUAAACUCAUUUUGGAAGGAUUUUCAUGUGAUGUUGAACAAAUGUUGAGUCCACUUGGACAAAGCCCGACUAAUUUUGGACACAGUUGGGUCAUUUUUAUGUCUUUUUAAGCAAUUUUAAAGUAAUUUUGGAUGAUUUAAGCAACAUUUUGAGCUAUACUGAGUCGUUUUAGACAUAUUUCAAGCUUUUUCUAAUCAGUUAUACUCUAACGUACGUUCUGGUUGCUGAACGCAGAAACAACAUUAAUGUUCUCAUGUUCUCAUCUCAUUAACAAAGUAGUUUGAUUUGAGUGUUUAGGUUCUCCUCUGAUAGAGUUCAGUUCUGGUUCUGUUGGUUCUGUUCAGACUGAGAACAUCAGAGGUCAACAUCAGUCUGUUCUAACAGAACAUGAAGCAGCAGAAUGAUCAGGUUUUAAUUCAUUCUCAUGUCUCAUUCAUCUCUUUUCCUCCAGGUGUCGCUGUUGAUUCAUCACAGAUUUAUCUUCCGUCUCUGGACUUUAAUGUGUUCAAACUUUAAUCCCACAGAUCUGGAAACCCAUCAUGUCUGAAUCUGUAGAAAACCGUAGAAAAGCUGUAACUCUGGUUUACUUCAGUUUGUUCCUCAGAAAAAUACAAACUGCUUUAAAAGCACAGAUAAAAUCAGUUUCAUGUUUAACCUCUAAACAGGUUGAUUCUUCAUCUUCUCAGCUCAGUCUUCAGAUUCAGCCGGUCUGUAGAUAUAAACUCAGUAAGCAGUCUGCUGGGAUCGUUGGAGGUUUGGACGUUAAAUCAAACCUCCAUCCAGCUGUGUGUCUGACGGACGUCUUCAAGCCUUCGUUAAAAAGUCUGAAACACUUUAAGGUAAAGGUCAGAUCAUUUGUUAUUAAUCCGUCAGCAGGAAACUCUGCAGUUCCAGCAGCAGACAGAUAGAAGAAAUAAAAUACCGACCAAAUCAGAGAAGCUGUUUUAUUAAAAAUUCAGAUUUCUGUCCUAUUAGUCCAUAUUUCCUGAGAUAAAAACCUUUCCUUCAGAAAACCUGUAACAGAAACAAUAACUGUGUUAAAG